UGUACCCUGACCUGCAUUAAGAAAGCCAGAUCAGAUGAUGCCAGCUAGCCAAACUCAGUCCACCAGGCUGUUCAAAACAGCAGGGAGAGAAGGAUGUGAUUUGUAACAGUGUCAUGUACUUCUGAAAUG
rnacentral:lncRNA from 1 species